rnacentral:rRNA from 1 species
AUUGAACGCUGGCGGCAGGCCUAACACAUGCAAGUCGAGCGGAGCAGCGGACGGGUGAGUAAUGCCUAGGCAUCUGCCUGGUAGUGGGGGAUAACGUCCGGACACGGGCGCUAAUACCGCAUAAUAUCAGAUGAGCCUUGGUCGGAUUAGCUAGUUGGUGGGGUAAAGGCCUACCAAGGCGACGAUCCGUAACUGGUCUGAGAGGAUGAUCAGUCACACUGGAACUGAGACACGGUCCAGACUCCUACUGUAGGCAGCAGUGGGGAAUAUUUGUCAAUGGGCGAAAUUCUUAUCCAGCCAUGCCGCGGGUGUGAAGAAGGUCUUCGGAUUGUAAAGCACUUUAAGUUGGGAGGCGUUACCAUCAGAAUAAGCACCGGCUAACUUCGUGCCAGCCGCCGCGGUAAUAC